AGUGGCGAACUGGUGAGUAACACGUGGGUAACCUGCCCAGAAGAAGGGGAUAACACCUGGAAACAGAUGCUAAUACCGUAUAACAACAAGAACCACAUGGUUCUUGUUUGAAAGCUGGCCUUUGUGCUAGUGCUUCUGGAUGGACCCGCGGCGUAUUAGCUAGUUGGUGAGAUAAUAGCUCACCAAGGCAAUGAUACGUAGCAGACCUGAGAGGGUAAUCUGCCACAAUGGGACUGAGACACGGCCCAUACUCC
rnacentral:rRNA from 1 species